rnacentral:rRNA from 1 species
UACGGGGGGGGUAAGCGUUGUUCGGAAUUACUGGGCGUAAAGGGCUCGUAGGCGGCCAACUAAGUCAUACGUGAAAUCCCUCAGCUUAACUGGGGAACUGCGUGUGAUACUGGAUGGCUUGGAUUUGGGAGAGGGAUGCGGAAUUCCAGGUGUAGCGGUGAAAUGCGUAGAUAUCUGGAGGAACACCGGUGGCGAAGGCGACGUCCUGGACCGGUAUUGACGCUGAGGCGCGAAAGCCAGGGGAGCAAAGCGGGG